AAGAACCUAAAUCAGGUA
rnacentral:snRNA from 1 species